GUUUAUUUGCUCUGUUUAUUUCUUGUUCUGUUUUCUUU
rnacentral:sRNA from 1 species